CAACAACCUGACUGAAGAAAGAGACCAGCUACAGACCAGUUACAACCAACUCCUUGAAGAUUGGAGGACACUCGACACUGAGGCCAGAUUUAAAGCCCUUACUGAGGAGCGGGAUGAACUGAAGACAAAGCUGGCUGACUUUAUUAAGGCCAACUAUUCCCAGCAAGGAUGGAAGUAUUUCAGCGGCAGUUUCUAUUACGUUUCUUCUAUCACCAAAACCUGGCAAGAGAGUAGAGAUGAUUGUCUGCAAAGAGGUGCAGACCUCAUGAUUAUUAACAGCCAAGAAGAACAGAGUUUCACAAGACAACUGAAGGAUAACUUGUGGAUUGGACUGACUGAUAAAGAGACAGAGGGGACAUGGAAAUGGGUUGAUGGGACUCCACUCGACACAAGCUACUGGAUGGAUGGUGAGCCUAACAACGUUGACGACAAAGAAGACUGUGGAGAAGUGACAUCACAUGCAGAGGAAAACAGCUGGAAUGAUGUACCAUGUGAUUUAAAAAUGUGUUGGGUCUGUGAAAAGAAAUUGCUUGUAUAACUCCACAUCUAUAUCCAACAGAUGUCAAACUCAGGACAUACCAGUACAAGCCGAACGACACCCACAUGAGGCCAGCUAAUGAAUCAAUUAAUCUCCUUCUUUAGCCUUACAUCCGCAAGCCAACAUUGAGCCAAUAUUUUCAAUUAUUAUUCUGGCUUUAUUUUCUUUCGGAAACACUUUUCAGAUUGGAUAAGUCAGAGGAGUCUGGCAAGUCCAGACACAUCAAUCAAUUAAACAGGGGAAUUCAUGAUGUCUGAAUUUGAGACAUGGUUUAAAAACAUGUAUUUGUAACAUGUAUUAACACAGGAUAUUACUGGGCUGAAGGGAACGUGGGACAUUAACGGACACAUGAAUCUUACAUGCGUCUUCCAUCCUGGCUCUUUUUGAGAAUAAUGUAUACUGCAGAAAAACAUAUCCAAUAGCUUAUCUUUUGUCUUUUCUAUCAUUAUUGUAAUAAAGCACAAUGACAGCAAACUGAA